GUAUGAGGUGACUAUUUAUUAGUCUUAAUAGAGAAUCUGGUGUGAAUCCAGAACAGCCCCCGCUACUGUAAGACGGACGAAAGUUUUUAUAUACCACUGAUUAAUCGGGAAGGUAAACAAGUAGGAUGAUGUUAAGUCAGGAGAACUGCCCCAUAACU
rnacentral:ncRNA from 1 species